CCUACGGGUGGCAGCAGUGGGGGAUAUUGCACAAUGGGGGGAACCCUGAUGCAGCGACGCCGCGUGUGGGAAGACGGUCCUCUGGAUUGUAAACCACUGUCCCCAGGGACGAAAAUGACGGUACCUGGGGAGGAAGCUCCGGCUAACUACGUGCCAGCAGCCGCGGUAAUACGUAGGGAGCGAGCGUUGUCCGGAAUUACUGGGUGUAAAGGGAGCGUAGGCGGGGAUGCAAGUUGGGUGUCAAAACUACCGGCUCAACUGGUAGUCGCACUCAAAACUGCAGCUCUUGAGUGAAGUAGAGGCAGGCGGAAUGCCUAGUGUAGCGGUGAAAUGCGUAGAUAUUAGGAGGAACACCAGUGGCGAAGGCGGCCUGCUGGGCUUUUACUGACGCUGAGGCUCGAAAGUGUGGGGAGCAAACAGGAUUAGAUAAGUC
rnacentral:rRNA from 1 species